GACGAACCGUGCGAACGUUAUUCGGAAUCACUGGGCUUAAAGGGCGCGUAGGCGGGUUCUCAAGUCAGGGGUGAAAUCCCGCGGCUCAACCGUGGAAGUGCCUUUGAUACUGGGGACCUCGAGGGAGGUAGGGGCGUGCGGAACUUCCGGUGGAGCGGUGAAAUGCGUAGAUAUCGGAAGGAACACCGGUGGCGAAAGCGGCGCGCUGGACCUCUUCUGACGCUGAGGCGCGAAAGCUAGGGGAGCAAACGGG
rnacentral:rRNA from 1 species